AUGCAAUGUCCGUCUUUAAAAUUCCUAAAAAAAUAUGUAAAGGAAUCAUUGACGCGAUGUCGCACUUUUGGUGGGGUGAUGAAGACAAUCAAAAGAGAAUGCAUUGGAUGGCUUGGUGGAAGAUGUGUGUACCAAAAGACCAAGGAGGAAUGGGUUUUCGAGACAUACAUUGUUUCAAUCUGGCCUUGUUAG
rnacentral:rRNA from 1 species